rnacentral:rRNA from 1 species
GACGUAGGGCGCGAGCGUUUGUCCGGAUUUAUUGGGCGUAAAGAGCUCGUAGGCGGCUUGUUGCGUCGACUGUGAAAACCCGCGGCUUAACCGCGGGCUUGCAGUUGAUACGGGCAGGCUAGAGUUCGGUAGGGGAGACUGGAAUUCCUGGUGUAGCGGUGAAAUGCGCAGAUAUCGGGAGGAACACCGGUGGCGAAGGCGGUUCUCUGGGACGGUACUGACGCUGAGACGCGAAGCGUGG